rnacentral:rRNA from 1 species
GUGUCAGCAGCCGCGGUAACACGUAGGGCGCAAGCGUUGUCCGGAAUUAUUGGGCGUAAAGAGCUCGUAGGCGGUCUGUUACGUCUGCUGUGAAAACCCGGGGCUUAACCCUGGGCUUGCAGUGGAUACGGGCAGACUAGAGGCAGGUAGGGGAGAAUGGAAUUCCCGGUGUAGCGGUGAAAUGCGCAGAUAUCGGGAGGAACACCGGUGGCGAAGGCGGUUCUCUGGGCCUGACCUGACGCUGAGGAGCGAAAGCGUGGGGAGCGAACAGGAUUAGAAACCCCCGUAGUCC